rnacentral:rRNA from 1 species
UACGUAGGGUGCAAGCGUUGUCCGGAAUUAUUGGGCGUAAAGAGCUCGUAGGCGGUUCGUCGCAUCGGCUGUGAAAUCCCGAGGCUCAACCUCGGGUCUGCAGUCGAUACGGGCGGACUGGAGUUCGGCAGGGGAGACUGGAAUUCCUGGUGUAGCGGUGAAAUGCGCAGAUAUCAGGAGGAACACCGGUGGCGAAGGCGGGUCUCUGGGCCGAUACUGACGCUGAGGAGCGAAAGCGUGGGGAGCGAACAGG